UGGAGAUGGUCAUUUUGGCGAUCUCCGUGUGGUGGUACGUGUUCCUCUGGGGCAGACCGGAAGCACACAUGUAGGCAUCCCCGAUCGUCUCCACCUGAUCAGACGACAAAAGAAAAGAGGGAUGUUAGCUCGAGGUGGUCAAAGACGUUGGACUAAGCCGGAGUAGCCGGAGCAAACCCACAAGUAUAAUCGGGCGACCACCAUUCCUUUUUACAUAUAUACACGUAUCACGGGAUGAACUCGGAUCGGGUUCAUUGGAAAGUAUUAUUGUCAUAUUUAAUCUCACCUUGUAGACGUCAUAUGCGGUGAUGACAUCAUCAAAAGUGGAAUAUAGUUCAUUCAACAUUUGCACAAUCUGAAAUUACAAUAAAUAUAUACAAAAAUA